rnacentral:lncRNA from 1 species
AAGAUAAAGAAAAAGGAAUCAAAGCAUACCACUACCAAAAAAUCAUCAAGUUACAAAGGAAGACUAUGAGAGGAAGAAAGGAAUAAAGAAACUACAAAACAGGGUCAAAGAUUUCUACCCUGUUGGAAGAAGCCACUGUUGAAGUGUGAAAGGCUACUCUGCUUUCUGCGUCCAUUUAACCUUUGGCCUGCCCUAAAGAGCCAGCCAAGUGUCAAUCAGGGCUGAUUGGGCACCUGUGCCUGGAAACAAGACAGAGAAAUUUAGCUCUUCCAGGUCAUCAAACCAUCUCCAGAUGGCAAAGAACUUCUGAAGUUAUGAACCUAACUUGCUUGUGAUGCAAAUUAGUGACCUAGGGUGAGAUGCUUCAUUAAUGCUUACUCCUGUGAGCCUCCAAGGUGUCAGAAGUUGGACUGCUUACUCUCACAUUUUUUUUUUGCUGUGUAAUGUGCAUUAAAAUAAUUUAUAUUCAUAGAGAUGGUCCAAUAAAUUGCAUAUGGCUAGUUAAUAAGCUGCUAAAGCAGAGAAGAAAAUUAGAUUUCAUUUAGAAGAAAACAAUAUUUGGCUUUCCCCAUGGAAAUAUGUGAAAAAGCUUUAGAAAAUUCUGUUAACAUUGAGGUCUCAGAAGAGACUGUGAUUAAAAAUAAUAAAAA